UUGUAUCGAAUACAAAUUUUCUUUACUAAUUAUAUCCUUACCAUAGCUCGAUUUAUGUAUAUGGCCUAUAUUCUUGUAUAAUUAUAAAUACUGUAAAUAAUUUUCUGCCUAUAUUACGGUUAAUUCAGUUAGCUAAUUAGGUAUAAUCUUCAUCCAAGUCAACAAAUCCAUUUACCAUUUACACAACUUUCGGGAAAAGCACUUGAGAUUCAGAUACAGCCAUUAGUUUAACAGCUUAAAAGUCAUCACAU
rnacentral:lncRNA from 1 species